rnacentral:rRNA from 1 species
CCAAUAGCGUAUAUUAAAGUUGUUGCAGUUAAAAAGCUCGUAGUUGAAUUUCGGGAUCAGUACGCUGGUCAUGCCUUUGGUAUGCACUGGUGUCACUGGUUUCUCCCUUCUGAAGAACCGUGAUGUCAUUAAUUUGGUGUCGCGGGGAAUCAGGACUGUUACUUUGAAAACAUUAGAGUGUUUAAAGCAGGCUCACGCUUGAAUACAUUAGCAUGGAAUAAUGAAAUAGGACGUUUGACCCUAUUUUGUUGGUUUCUAGGAUCGACGUAAUGAUUAAUAGGGAUAGUUGGGGGCAUUAGUAUUCAAUUGUCAGAGGUGAAAUUCUUGGAUUUAUUGAAGACUAACUACUGCGAAAGCAUUUGCCAAGGAUGUUUUCAUUAAUCAAGAACGAAAGUUAGGGGAUCGAAGACGAUCAGAUACCGUCGUAGUCUUAACCAUAAACUAUGCCGACUAGGGAUCGGAUGAUGUUAAUUUUAUAAUGACUCAUUCGGCGCCUUACG